AGGGAUCAAACUCCUUCAUCUUCCUCAUAUUUUCUUCACAGACACUUGUUUCUUAAAAAUCUCUACUCCCACUCGAUCUCUACUGCCAAAUCACACAAUACACACCAUAUACCUCACCUCCACACCCUCUCUACAACUAACCGGCGCCGGAGCCGAUUAACCGGCGGCCGGCGAUGGAUGACGCAGCCGACAACCCCAUACCCCUCUCUCUCUCUCGCACACCAUUUCAGUCAGAAACACACAAGACCUCGACGACAAUUCAACUUCCGGCGACAAACGCCGCUUAUGGCGGCAACACUGUCUUCCGUCGCCGACGUCGAAGUGGCGGACGACGGCGGUGGUGAUUCGGGGUCAAUCGCAGGUUCGGAUCCUAUCUCGGUUCAGACUUAACUCGGGUUCAGGCUUAGCGGGAGGUUGCGGGUCUCGAUACUCGGGUCAGAAGGUUGUCCGGGUCGAUGAUGAUGAUGGUCGGGUUCUGACGGCACCGGGUCAGCGUGGUCGUCUCGGUUCCGUCAACAGCAGUCAAACUCAGUCAUUGGUUCGGGUUCGCUAUGGUUCGGGUCGGUAUCGGUUCGGUCAAACUAGUUAGCUGGUCAACACGGGUUACUCGCGAGAUACGGGUGACCUCGGUGUUCCAUCCUCCUAAUCUCAUACACUCGU